CCAGAGGGUCGGGCAGCCGCGGGUCAUGCAAAUGGCGCGAGGAAAGUCCGGGCUCCACGAAACAGGGAUGCCGGGUAACGCCCGGCGGGGGAGACCCCAGGGACAGUGCAACAGAAAGCAGGUUGCCACAGGCUUCGGCCCGGUAACAUUGAAAGGGUGCGGUAAGAGCGCACCGCGCGGCCGGCAACGGUUCGCGGCACGGUAAACCCCAUCCGGAGCAAGACCGAAUAGGGGCGGAUUUGGCGAUACGGUUUCCGCUUGCGGAGGCGCGUCCCAGGGGAGUUUCGGCCCCUUGCCGCCCGGGUUGGUUGCUUGAGCGGUGCAGCAAUGCCCCGCCUAGAGGAAUGGCUGCCCAUGACCGGCAACGGUCAGGACAGAACCCGGCUUACAGACCCUCUGGCGAU
rnacentral:RNase_P_RNA from 1 species